rnacentral:rRNA from 1 species
GAUGAACGCUAGCUACAGGCUUAACACAUGCAAGUCGAGGGGUAACGAGAGGGAAGCUUGCUUUCCUUGUCGACGACCGGCGCACGGGUGAGUAACGCGUAUCCAACCUGCCCCCAACUAGGGAAUAAACUUGCGAAAGUAAGACUAAUACCCUAUAAUUUCCUCAGAUGUCAUCUGACGAGGAAUAAAGAUUUAUCGGUUGUGGAUGGGGAUGCGUCUGAUUAGCUUGUUGGCGGGGUAACGGCCCACCAAGGCAACGAUCAGUAGGGGUUCUAGGAGGAAGGUCCCCCGCAUUGGAACUGAGACACGGUCCAAACUCCUACGGGAGGCAGCAGUGAGGAAUAUUGGUCAAUGGGCGGAAGCCUGAACCAGCCAAGUAGCGUGCAGGAUGACGGCCCUAUGGGUUGUAAACUGCUUUUAUACAGGAAUAAAGUUAGCCACGUGUGGUUAUUUGUAGGUACUGUAUGAAUAAGGACCGGCUAAUUCCGUGCCAGCCGCCGCCGUAA